AAUUGCAAAUUUGGAGAGGAAGUUUUCGUUUCCUGGGUCU
rnacentral:tRNA from 1 species